AUGGAGCAGCAGCAGCAGCAACAGCAGAUUAUAGCUCCUGUCCACAGUCCUCUUCUGUUCCUUGGUCUUCUAAAUGUAAACAGUUUCCAGAACAAAAUUUCAGUACAAAUCUAUCCAGGAUAUAUGAACUCAGCUGGUAAAUCUCCAGCUGUAAUUACCGGUAAUGAUUCUAUAAGCAGCAACAGAAUAAAAGAAUCAUUGUUUGAUAUUGUGGAAGAAACAGCAAUACCAAAUACCAACCAAGAUGAAAGAAGUCAUUCCAUUCUAGCAUUGUUCGAAGAUGAGAGCAAGCUGAUUCAUAAUACUCCCUCCAAAAAGCAUUGCAGUUCUUUUGUUAACCAAAGCAGUAUGAGCCAAUUAUUUACAGAUCAUGAUAAUACAAAUCAAACGUUUAACAGAGGUAGCCUUUAUGACUUUAAAGAGGUUUAUCACAAGACUGACUGUGCUGAAAGACGUACUGUAGGCAGAUGCCUUAAGGGAAUUUUCACAGUCCCAGAACAGAAUUUCUUUCAAAGGAACAAUAAUUCGAAAACUAGCCGCAAACAAAAGGAAAGACCUAAUAAAAGCUACAUGAAAGAAUACCUUGAGGGACAAUAUUACUUCACACUGUCUGAAAUACAAGAAAAUCCUGCAAAGUAUGAAAGAUUAGGUAAGUAUCAAGAAUGCCGGGGAUUAUCUAGCUUUACUCCUAUCACGUAGGGGAACAUGGUUUCAGAGAGCCAGAGGAAUUGUGUCACAGUGUGAAAAAUGUCACAUAACUAAGGAUUGUCACUAUUUUUCCCAGGUUUAAUGAUAUAAUCAUUCUGUGAAUUAAUAAUUUUAAUCAAAAUCAUGAUGGAAAAAUGUGCUUUCCUAAAAUGCUCUAUUUUAAAUUUAAGCUCUAAUUUUUGUUUUUAAGGGUUAUUUACAAAUCACUCUGCUGAAGAGAUUAACUUUGAGGGAACCAUGCAGAGCUAUUCAAUGAACCAGAAGUGAGUUUCUAAAGCAAUUACUAAAUAUUAAAAAGCUGUA
rnacentral:lncRNA from 1 species